UACGAAGGGGGCUAGCGUUGUUCGGAAUUACUGGGCGUAAAGCGCGCGCAGGUGGUCUUUCAAGUCAGUGGUGAAAGCCCGGAGCUCAACUCCGGAAAUGCCAUUGAAACUGUGAGACUUGAGGACGAGAGAGGUGAGUGGAAUUCCCAGUGUAGAGGUGAAAUUCGUAGAUAUUGGGAAGAACACCGGUGGCGAAGGCGGCUCACUGGCCCGAUACUGACGCUGAGGCACGAAAGCGUGGGGAGCAAACAGG
rnacentral:rRNA from 1 species